AUUGAACGCUGGCGGCAGGCCUAACACAUGCAAGUCGAGCGAGCGGCGGACGGGUGAGUACUGUGUGGGGACUGCCCGAUAGAGGGGGAUAACUACUGGAAACGGUGGCUAAUACCGCAUACUGUUGGAUAACCCAUCUGGGAUUAGCUAGUAGGUAGGGUAAUGGCUUACCUAGGCGACGAUCCCUAGCCUGUCUGAGAGGAUGAUCAGCCACACUGGGACUGAGACACGGCCCAGACUCCUACGGAGGCAGCAGUGGGGAAUAUUGCACAAUGGGCGCAAGCCUGAUGCAGCCAUGCCGCGUGUAUGAAGAAGGCCCUAGGGUUGUAAAGUAUUUUCAGUCGGGAGGCGUUACCGACAGAAGAAGCACCGGCUAACUCCGUGCCAGCAGCCGCGGUAAUUC
rnacentral:rRNA from 1 species